rnacentral:rRNA from 1 species
CGCGUAGGCGGCCUGGUCAGUCGGAUGUGAAAGCCCCGGGCUUAACCUGGGAAUUGCAUUCGAUACUGCCGGGCUGGAGUGUAGUAGAGGGAAGCGGAAUUCCGGGUGUAGCGGUGAAAUGCGUAGAGAUCCGGAGGAACAUCAGUGGCGAAGGCGGCUUCCUGGACUAACACUGACGCUGAGGUGCGAAAGCGUGGGGAGCAAACA